UCCAAGAACAUCCAGUUCUAAACCAACCAUGUUUGUCACAUCUACAUUGCUGCUGGUGCUGGUUGCUACAUGUGUCCACGCUCAGGUUGUCCUCACCCAGUCUGAGCAGUCAGUAGUAGCCUUUCCAGGUGGAUCCCACAAACUGACCUGUGCCUGUAGUGGAUUCAGUGUGGGGGGCACUAACAUGUACUGGAUCCGUCAGGCUCCUGGAAAAGGACUGGAAUGGAUCAUUUACUAUUAUUCUGAGAGUAGCAAGAACACAGCCCAGGCAGUACAGGGCAGGUUCACAGCAUCCAAGGACAGCUCUAAUUUCUACCUGCAUACGAAUCAACUGAAGCCAGAAGACACUGCUGUGUGUUACUGUGCUAGAGAGUCACUGUGCUGGGACUGAUACAGACAGCUGUACAGAAACCCUGCAAGGAGAUGCCAAA